rnacentral:rRNA from 1 species
UUUGUAUAAUGGGUCAGCGACUUAUAUUCUGUAGCAAGGUUAACCGUAUAGGGGAGCCGAAGGGAAACCGAGUCUUAACCGGGCGUUAAGUUGCAGGGUAUAGACCCGAAACCCGGUGAUCUAGCCAUGGGCAGGUUGAAGGUUGGGUAACACUAACUGGAGGACCGAACCGACUAAUGUUGAAAAAUUAGCGGAUGACCUGUGGCUGGGGGUGAAAGGCCAAUCAAACCGGGAGAUAGCUGGUUCUCCCCGAAAGCUAUUUAGGUAGCGCCUCGUGAAUUCAUCUCCGGGGGUAGAGCACUGUUUCGGCUAGGGGGCCAUCCCGGCUUACCAACCCGAUGCAAACUGCGAAUACCGGAGAAUGUUAUCACGGGAGACACACGGCGGGUGCUAACGUCCGUCGUGAAGAGGGAAACAACCCAGACCGCCAGCUAAGGUCCCAAAGUCAUGGUUAAGUGGGAAACGAUGUGGGAAGGCCCAGACAGCCAGGAUGUUGGCUUAGAAGCAGCCAUCAUUUAAAGAAAGCGUAAUAGCUCACUGGUCGAGUCGGCCUGCGCGGAAGAUGUAACGGGGCUAAACCAUGCACCGAAGCUGCGGCAGCGAACGUAUCACUUAAAGCGAUUCAGCGGGUUACGAUUGACGGAGCGAAGCGACGUCAAAGCGUAUACAAAGUCGAGUCGGUUUAAGGAUACGUUCGUUGGGUAGGGGAGCGUUCUGUAAGCCUGUGAAGGUGUGUCGUGAGGCAUGCUGGAGGUAUCAGAAGUGCGAAUGCUGACAUAAGUAACGAUAAAGCGGGUGAAAAGCCCGCUCGCCGGAAGACCAAGGGUUCCUGUCCAACGUUAAUCGGGGCAGGGUGAGUCGACCCCUAAGGCGAGGCCGAAAGGCGUAGUCGAUGGGAAACGGGUUAAUAUUCCCGUACUUGGUGUUACUGCGAAGGGGGGACGGAGAAGGCUAUGUUGGCCGGGCGACGGUUGUCCCGGUUUAAGCGUGUAGGUGUGUGUUCCAGGUAAAUCCGGUUCACUUUAACACUGAGGCGUGACGACGAGGCACUACGGUGCUGAAGCAACAAAUGCCCUGCUUCCAGGAAAAGCCUCUAAGCAUCAGGUAACAUCAAAUCGUACCCCAAACCGACACAGGUGGUCAGGUAGAGAAUACCAAGGCGCUUGAGAGAACUCGGGUGAAGGAACUAGGCAAAAUGGUGCCGUAACUUCGGGAGAAGGCACGCUGACACGUAGGUGAAGUGAUUUACUCAUGGAGCUGAAGUCAGUCGAAGAUACCAGCUGGCUGCAACUGUUUAUUAAAAACACAGCACUGUGCAAACACGAAAGUGGACGUAUACGGUGUGACGCCUGCCCGGUGCCGGAAGGUUAAUUGAUGGGGUCAGCGCAAGCGAAGCUCCUGAUCGAAGCCCCGGUAAACGGCGGCCGUAACUAUAACGGUCCUAAGGUAGCGAAAUUCCUUGUCGGGUAAGUUCCGACCUGCACGAAUGGCGUAAUGAUGGCCAGGCUGUCUCCACCCGAGACUCAGUGAAAUUGAACUCGCUGUGAAGAUGCAGUGUACCCGCGGCAAGACGGAAAGACCCCGUGAACCUUUACUAUAGCUUGACACUGAACAUUGAGCCUUGAUGUGUAGGAUAGGUGGGAGGCUUUGAAGCGUGGACGCCAGUCUGCGUGGAGCCGACCUUGAAAUACCACCCUUUAAUGUUUGAUGUUCUAACGUGGACCCGUGAUCCGGGUUGCGGACAGUGUCUGGUGGGUAGUUUGACUGGGGCGGUCUCCUCCUAAAGAGUAACGGAGGAGCACGAAGGUUGGCUAAUCCUGGUCGGACAUCAGGAGGUUAGUGCAAUGGCAUAAGCCAGCUUGACUGCGAGCGUGACGGCGCGAGCAGGUGCGAAAGCAGGUCAUAGUGAUCCGGUGGUUCUGAAUGGAAGGGCCAUCGCUCAACGGAUAAAAGGUACUCCGGGGAUAACAGGCUGAUACCGCCCAAGAGUUCAUAUCGACGGCGGUGUUUGGCACCUCGAUGUCGGCUCAUCACAUCCUGGGGCUGAAGUAGGUCCCAAGGGUAUGGCUGUUCGCCAUUUAAAGUGGUACGCGAGCUGGGUUUAGAACGUCGUGAGACAGUUCGGUCCCUAUCUGCCGUGGGCGCUGGAGAACUGAGGGGGGCUGCUCCUAGUACGAGAGGACCGGAGUGGACGCAUCACUGGUGUUCGGGUUGUCAUGCCAAUGGCACUGCCCGGUAGCUAAAUGCGGAAGAGAUAAGUGCUGAAAGCAUCUAAGCACGAAACUUGCCCCGAGAUGAGUUCUCCCUGAGACUUAAAGUCUCCUGAAGGAACGUUGAAGACGACGACGUUGAUAGGCCGGGUGUGUAAGCGCAGCGAUGCGUUGAGCUAACCGGUACUAAUGAACCGUGAGGCUUAACCUUACAACGCCGAAG